GUACAAAAACACAUAUGUAUGAUGUUAAUAAUAAUUAAAAAACGACGAGAGAACGGUUUAUGUACACUACGGCCAAAUUGUACGAUCCUCGAGCUCCCAUUCUUGGUUCUGUGAGCGGACUCUGAACGGUAACCGUGGCUUGAGACGAUGAUCAUGAAGUUCAAGUUGAUGUUUCUGACGAAGACGAUAAACUGUGGUACCCGUAUUAUUUCUGAAGACGUUUUAAGACUCAGGAAAAAAAUCUACAGAGAUACAUGUACUGAAGAAAUACCUGCUGUUGAAAAAAAAAACCCUAGCUAAGACAUGUUUGUUUUUAUUUACAAACAACAUGAUCAGGUAGAAACAACAAUAUAACUCAAAUUGCUGCAUCUAUUGGAGCACCCAUCUUUAGCAGAAAUUUUACUUGAAUUUACAGCAUUUCCAUCGAGGCAUCAAAGCAUGAAUUGAUCAUUGUAACUUACAUGUAA